rnacentral:rRNA from 1 species
GACGAACGCUGGCGGCGUGCUUAACACAUGCAAGUCGAGCGGUAAGGCCCUUUCGGGGGUACACGAGCGGCGAAUGGGUGAGUAACACGUGGGUGACCUGCCCUCAGCUCUGGGAUAAGCCUGGGAAACCGGGUCUAAUACUGGAUAUGACUCCAUGACGCAUGUUGUGGGGUGGAAAGCCUUGUGCGGCUGAGGAUGGGCCCGCGGCCUAUCAGCUUGUUGGUGGGGNGAUGGCCUACCAAGGCGACGACGGGUAGCCGGCCUGAGAGGGCGACCGGCCACACUGGGACUGAGACACGGCCCAGACUCCUACGGGAGGCAGCAGUGGGGAAUCUUGCGCAAUGGGCGAAAGCCUGACGCAGCGACGCCGCGUGAGGGAUG